UGGGGUGCAGUUGUUUGGAUUUUUUUUUUAGGAGGCGAGUUUUGGGGCACUCUUUCGCAUCCGCUUCGCCGUGCCGAGCGUCCCUGGGCCUUCUGAUGGAUUGCGGGCGGUUUCCCCCGCUUCACUCGCGGAGGAGGCCGGUGGUACCGCCGGGGCCGGCCCGUGCCUUGUUCCUUCCCAAGGGGAAAAUGCCAAAUAAGAAAACGGCUGGAAAAAGAGCCCCUGCAAAAAGAAAACUUGCUGAAGUGUUUGGUCUGGGGGAGGUUCUAGCAGAUACAUCAAGAAAAGAAUGGAAAUUAGGUGUCCCUAUAGGGCAGGGAGGCUUUGGGCGUCUAUACCUUGCUGAUGUUAAUUCUUCAAAGUCGGUUGGCAGUGAUGCCCCUUAUGUUGCAAAAGUGGAACCCAGCCAGAAUGGACCUCUUUUUACUGAGUUAAAGUUCUACAUGCGAGCUGCUAAGCCAGAUGAAAUUCAGAAGUGGACUAAGUCGCAUAAACUGAAAUAUUUAGGUGUACCAAGAUAUUGGGGUUCUGGCUUGCAUGAAAGAAAUGGAAACAGCUAUCGAUUUAUGAUAAUGGACCGAUUUGGCAGAGAUCUUCAGAAGAUGUAUGAAGAGAAUGCAAAGCAAUUUUCCCAUAAAACUGUACUACAAUUAGGCCUGAGAAUACUUGAUAUCCUGGAAUAUGUCCAUGAGCAUGAAUAUGUGCAUGGAGACAUCAAGGCCGCAAACCUCCUUCUGAGUUACAAGAACCCUAAUCAGGUGUACUUGGUGGAUUACGGACUUGCCUACCGAUACUGUCCUGAAGGAGUUCACAAAGUAUAUAAAGAAGAUCCUAAGAGGUGCCACGAUGGAACUAUUGAAUAUACCAGUAUUGAUGCACACAAGGGUGUGGCACCAUCGAGACGUGGUGAUCUGGAGAUCUUGGGUUACUGUAUGAUUCAUUGGCUUAGCGGCCAUCUACCAUGGGAAGAUAAUUUGAAAGAUCCAAAUUUUGUCAGAGACUCAAAAAUCAGAUGUAGAGAUAAUAUUUCCAUUUUGAUGGACAAAUGCUUUCCUGGGAAAAAUAAACCGGAUGAAAUAGCCAAGUAUAUGGAAAAGGUGAAGCUACUCAGCUAUGAGGAGAAACCUGUUUAUCAGCAUUUCCGAGAAGUACUUCUGCAAGGUCUCAAGGCCAUUGGACAAAAAGAUGAUGGUGUGCUUGACUUUGGCCUGGCAGAGAAUGGAGACUUUCAAAGAAAUCCCGUGCAAAAGAAAAGAAGAAAGGCAGCAGCUGCAUCCAGUGAGAGCACUGAGGCAGAAAUGGAAGAUAUAGGAAGUCCAAAAAAAAAGAAAGCUGCUACUUCUAGAUUGUAGAUUGAAAUUCUUAUAGAAGGAGAUGGAAAAGAACUUGAAGAAUUGCAAUCCAGAUGCAGUUGCUAGCAGAACCCAGAAGAUCACCUCACCAAAACCCAAGAAAAGCACAGCAACCAGAAAGAGAAUCCAGAAGUAAAUAAUAUAUGGAGCAACAAAUCAAGUUGCUCUGUGCUAAUUGGCUCAUUUCUGAUUUUUUUUUUCUUUUCUGUAGCACUGGAAUCUUUUUCUUUCCUUUUUAAAUUAUGAAUCCUGUAAAAACAUGGACUACAGUUUGUACCUGUUUUUGAAGAAUAAAUGUUUUAUUAAAAUA